rnacentral:misc_RNA from 1 species
AGUUUGAUUAUGGCUCGAAUUGAACGCUGGCGGGGAGAUACUUUUACACAUGCAAGUCGAACGGCAGCACGGACUUCGGUCUGGUGGCGAGUGGCGAACGGGUGAGUAAUGUAUCGGAACGUGCCCUAGUAGCGGGGGAUAACUACGCGAAAGCGUAGCUAAUACCGCAUACGCCCUUCGGGGGAAAGCGGGGGACCUUCGGGCCUCGCACUAUUAAGCAGCCGAUAUCCCGGAUUAGCUAGUUGGUGGGGUAACGGCUCACCAAGGCGACGAUCCGUAGCUGGUUUGAAGGACGACCAGCCACACUGGGACCCCGAGACACGGCCCAGACUCCUACGGGAGGCAGCAGUGGGGGAAUUUUGGACAAUGGGAAACCCUGAUCCAGCCAUCCGCGUGUGCGAUGAAGGCCUUCGGGUUGUAAAGCACUUUUGGCGAGAAAGAAACGGCACGGGAUAAUACCCCGUGCAACUGACGGUACCUGCAGAAUAAGCACCGGCUAACUACGUGCCAGCAGCCGCGGUAAUACGUAGGGUGCAAGCGUUAAUCGGAAUUACUGGGCGUAAAGCGUGCGCAGGCGGUUCCGGAAAGAAAGAUGUGAAAUCCCCAGAGCUUAACUUUGGAACUGCAUUUUUAACUACCGAGCUAGAGUGUGUCGGAGGGAGGUGGAAUUCCGCGUGUAGCAGUGAAAUGCGUAGAUAUGCGGAGGAACACCGAUGGCGAAGGCAGCCUCCUGGGAUAACACUGACGCUCAUGCACGAAAGCGUGGGGAGCAGACAGGAUUAGAUACCCUGGUAGUCCACGCCCUAAACGAUGUCAACUAGCUGUUAGGGCCUUCGGGCCUUAAUGUUGGCGCAGCUAACGCGUGAAGUUGACCGCCUGGGAAGUACGGUCGCAAGAUUAAAACUCAAAGGAAUUGACGGGGACCCGCACAAGCGGUGGAUGAUGUGGAUUAAUUCGAUGCAACGCGAAAAACCUUACCUACCCUUGACAUGUCUGGAA